rnacentral:lncRNA from 1 species
AUUCAGAUGAUCUAGAAGAAGAUGAAGAAGAAGAAGAUCAAAGUAUUGAAGAAAGUGAAGAUGAUGAUUCUGAUUCAGAGAGUGAAGCACAACAUAAAAGUAACAACCAGGUGCUAUUACAUGGUAUUUCAGACCCAAAAGCAGAUGGACAGAAAGCAACUGAAAAAGCCCAGGAAAAAAGAAUACACCAGCCAUUACCUCUUGCGUCUGAAUCCCAGACUCACUCAUUCCAAUCCCAGCAGAAGCAGCCUCAGGUUUUGUCACAGCAGCUUCCAUUUAUUUUCCAAAGCUCUCAGGCAAAGGAGGAAUCUGUGAACAAACACACCAGUGUAAUACAGUCUACGGGAUUGGUGUCCAAUGUGAAACCUUUAUCUUUGGUAAAUCAAGCCAAAAAGGAAACUUACAUGAAACUCAUAGUUCCUUCUCCUGAUGUUCUUAAAGCAGGGAAUAAAAAUACCUCUGAAGAAUCUAGUUUAUUGACCAGUGAAUUGAGAUCCAAACGGGAACAAUAUAAACAGGCAUUCCCAUCACAGUUAAAGAAACAAGAGUCAUCGAAGAGCCUGAAGAAGGUUAUUGCAGCUUUGUCAAA